AAUCUAGGAAUUAUGGAGUCCUAGAAUAAUACACACCCUCCAGACUAAUAGUAAACCACCCGGCAAUUCGCUAAGGCAACUAUGAACGAAGCUGUCACUAUCUCCGCCGGUUCUGAUCGGUCUUGGCCGCCUGAAGCUUUACAUCAGGAAGGUAUCCGAGACCAUGACGGCGUCCACGCGUAUGAAUGCUGAGAUAGUCGCGGCUGCCCUGGGGACACACACUGAGGCAGAUUGUCUAUGAGAUCAGUGUGGGAAGGUAUCAGCGGGUGUGCUUGGACUCCCCCAGAACUCCUGGGGAAGCAGCAGGAAGGAUAAUAAAGGGAGCAUCACAAAAUAUUAGCCUGGAAGGGCUGGGAACCGCCGGGUCACGUGAACACUGGGUGGCUUCCAGCCGCGGCCAAGUAAGGGUAUUACGGAAAGAGAAGCACUCAGGAUCAUCGGCUGCAUGUUACAAGUAGAGAAUGACGGUUGACAGCCCCCAUGAGCAAAGAAAUGGCAGAAUGGUUCUUCUCGCCUCAACAGGGAGCUCUGAGGAGGGACCACCCAGCCCUCACGGGGAAAUGCGAGAGCGCUUCACCCUUGGUGGGGACAGAAAUCAAGGGCUUACCCUCCCUCCCAAGCACGUCCCAGGCCUCAGAGCUUGCACCGGACACUGCGCGACCGCUGAGUCCCAUAGAUUGUGCAGCCUUGGCCUCUGCUGGACCUCGCUCUUCUCUCCAUUCCCACUGCCAGGACCUGAAGCCAUGGCCGUCUUCUCCCAAGACUGUGGCAACGGUUCCCACACUGGCCUCCUUGCCUCUACCUUUGCAUCCCUCCCAUCCAUCAAGGUGAUCUUCCCCAGAUUCAAGGCUGACCGUGUCUGACCGAAGCCCUUCAAUGGUCCCCACAGAGUCAAGUUCAAAGUCCUCCAUGUGCCCGACCAGCCCUGCCAGCCACUGCAGCCUCAACUCCUGCCACCCCUCGACCCACUUGCACCCCAUGCCCCAUCGGUACCAUGCAGCAUGCUGUUCCCUCCUCUCAUCUCCCAGUCUUCGUGGAAACUCCAGCACUAACCUGGUAGCUGCCCCUUGCUGCCCCAGCUACCUCCCUCAAGGAUUCCGUCUCGCAUUUGUGCUCUUUAAUCCCGUGACCAUUGAAUCAGUGAUUGACAAAUAUGGGUCCAACGUAGAGCAUGGGCCAGGUGUGGUGCUGAGCCCCAGGGGCUCAGCAGAGAACCAGGGAGGCCGCUUCCCCCUGGAAGCUCUGGUCCAGGCUGGGAGCUCCCCGAAGCAAAUUGUUUCUAAGCAAUCCCCAACAUGGUGCUGCAGGAAGCCCAGAAAGACGAGGGGAGCUACCCUAGAGAGCCACCAUACUCGGGCUCUCCUCUCCCGUCUGGGCCGCAGCCCUAUACAGCGAGCGUUUCCAUACCCGCCUUUAGAGAUGAGCAGCCUGGUGUCCAAGGGGGGGAAACAGCGCACCGAUGGUCACCCAGCUCACCUGCGGUGAGUCCCACAUUCAAACUCAGGCCUGAUUCCAAAGCUUCUCCUCCAUCACCUGCUGGCUCCAGCCGAGUCUGCAUCCCUCGGCUCUCAUAGAGCACAUGAGACUCUAAGUCGCAUGGACUCCAGGACCAGGCCACCUUGGGUGACGUUCGAGUCCUGCCCCCUGAGCACCACGUGGCGUGCAGAGUCCAUAGUGUUAGCUGAAUGAAUACGUGAAGUUCAGGGAUGUCAGGGUGGCUCAGCAGUUGAGCACCUGCCUUCAGCCCAGGGCCUGAUCCUGGAGCUCCAGGAUCGACUCCCGCAUUGGGCUCCCUACAUGGAGCCUGCUUCUCCCUCUGCCUGUGU